GCAAAACAAACUCCCAAACCUCUAACGAAACGGGACACAACAAAUCAAUGGAAACGCCGCGGUAAGGCAUGUUCACGUCUGUAAAAGGUUUCUAGAAACCCAGGAUGCUUGUGAUCCGAGUGACUGGGGCGGGGCCCCGGUGGGGAUGGCUCUCCGCGCCUGUCUCCUCGCUGGAGCCAACCUGGAAAUCACUGGGAACCGCUCUGGACAGACUUAAAGCUGUUAGAGGCAUAUCCAGCAGAAAACAUCACAUCUCUUCAGGGAGAUACGGAGACCCAGCCAGAGAGGAAACACAAG